CGGGUACGAGGCAAACCUGUCACAAAGUCUAUGUUCACUUCCUCCUAUUUCUACAUGGGCCUACUGAACUCUGCACCCAUAUACUACUUUCUGCUGAAUCGAGUAAAUGGACAGCUAGUUGGGUAAGCUGAUGGACUUCCUGAGCUAACUUCUUCUUAUCAUCCUCAAUAUGAGCAACACUACCCAUCGACAAUCUACUGAGAG
rnacentral:lncRNA from 1 species